rnacentral:rRNA from 1 species
AUUGCAGGCUGAAACUCGCCUGCAUGAAGCUGGAAUUGCUAGUAAUCAUAGGUCAGCAUACUAUGGUGAAUACGUUCCCGGGCCUUGUACACACCGCCCGUCACACCAUGAGAGUUGAGAAUACCCGAAGUCCAUGUCAAAGUGGCCGAAGGUAGGCUUGAUGAUUGGGGUGAAGUCGUAACAAGGUACC